GUACUUUCUUCAUUGUAAAUGCAUUUAAAUUCAUAAUUCUUCAAUCUCUUAACCUUUCGCAAAACCUUUAACCUUUAACCAAGGCUCGUGAUUGGCUGUUCGCCAGUGAUGUCACACAUUCAUGAGCACGUGCUCCACAAACUCAGGAUCAAAGCCUGAGUUGAUAACUCGAAACGAAUCCUGUAACUCUGAAUUUGUUCAUCUACCGUCAUGGUACAGGCCCCAGGACUCAACAGACACCUCUAAAUGUGUUACUGAUGCAGAAGAGGUCACCACAGUGCAAUUAUUUACGAUUCUCUAAUCUAUGAAUGUACUGUCAAGUAGUGUCUUCAUUUCCUCACACAGACUGUAUUUAAGACUGUAACAAUAGAUGCAUUUUCUCACAGCUGCUCCAUUCUGAAUUGGAUUUCUGUGAUUAAAUGGUCUGGUUAAAUACAAAGGAAUUGUAUUUUACUUGGCAAAUGAAUUUUUUUUUUAUGUGCUUCUAGAAGACAUUUUAGUUCUGUCAAAGUUGCCAAAACUAUCAUGUAGUUUAUCAAACCAAAUUACUGUAGAAGCAUAAAACUACACUGGCUAUAGAUGAAAUCUGUGGUUGAAUUUGUUUUCUGCUGUUUUUAUGUUUUAUUUGUUUUCUUUUAAUGGUUUUAGUUUCUAGCAGGUAUAUUUGUUCUCAGAGAUUCGUUGUAGAAUACGUUUUUUUUUUAACUUGGUUUACUGAUAUUUCUGUAUUAAAGGUGUGUGAAUGUUCUCCAGGUGGCCACUAAGAGGCGAUGAUUUAACAUCAAUGGCUUCAAGUCCUCAUAGGCCUGUGCAGUGACAUGUUGGCAGUCAUUGUCAUGGAUAUUCACUAUUGUUUUGUAGAAAUAACAGCUAUUAAACAUGACACAAUUCCGGUUUAUGCUGAACACUGCUUUCUGAUAUUUUGCUACUGAGUUGUCACAAUUCUAUAAAGCACACAUCAACUAUAUUUCUAAUAUUUCCUGAGAAAACAGGAUAAAUAUUGUUACAGCGUUCUAAUGAUUACUUUAAGUUGUGAAGUGGGUCAACUUAUAAGGUUAUCAGUAAGAAUGUAAUUUUUAUGACCCUUUAUCACUCUCUUUGAAUUAAACGGGCCUUCCCUCCCCUUAUUUGCACAUUUUCCUUUUAAGAUUUAUGUAAAUUGAUUUUUUGCAUAUGAAACGUCCGGCACGAAGGGGUCAAGGUUUAGCUGGUUAGCAUUAUUAUUAUAAUUUUUUUUUGCUGGUCAAAAGUUUGGAAUAUAUAUUUUUUAAUGUUAUUGAAAGAAAUCUCUUCUGCUCACCAAGGCUGCAUUUACUUGAUCAAAGACAGUAAUAUUGUGAAAUAAUUGUAAAAUAAAAAAAAAAAACUACUUUAAAAUUAAAUAAUAUUUUAAAAU
rnacentral:lncRNA from 1 species